rnacentral:rRNA from 1 species
UUAAAUUGAAGAGUUUGAUCAUGGCUCAGAUUGAACGCUGGCGGCAGGCCUAACACAUGCAAGUCGAACGGUAAUAGGAAUCAGCUUGCUGAUU